GACGAACGCUGGCGGUGUGCUUAACACAUGCAAGUCGAACGGUAAGGCCCUUUCGGGGGUACACGAGUGGCGAACGGGUGAGUAACACGUGAGUAACCUGCCCUCAUCUCUGGGAUAACAGUCGGAAACGGUUGCUAAUACUGGAUAUGAGCUUGCAAGGCAUCUUGUGGGUUGGAAAGAUUUUUUUGGUUGGGGAUGGACUCGCGGCCUAUCAGCUUGUUGGUGAGGUAGUGGCUCACCAAGGCUUCGACGGGUAGCCGGCCUGAGGGGGCGACCGGCCACAUUGGGACUGAGAUACGGCCCAAACUCCUACGGGAGGCAGCAGUGGGGAAUAUUGCACAAUGGACGGAAGUCUGAUGCAGCAACGCCGCGUGCGGGAUGACGGCCUUCGGGUUGUAAACCGCUUUCAAUUGUGACGAAGCUUUUUGUGACGGUAGCAGUAGAAGAAGCACCGGCUAACUACGUG
rnacentral:rRNA from 1 species